rnacentral:rRNA from 1 species
UAGUCAUAUGCUUGUCUCAAAGAUUAAGCCAUGCAUGUCUAAGCACAUGCCUUAAUACGGUGAAGCCGCGAAUAGCUCAUUACAACAGCCACCGUUUAUUAGAAUAUCGUUAUCCUACUUGGAUAACUGUGGCAAUUCUAGAGCUAAUACAUGCAAAAAAGCUCCGCCCGCGAGGAACGAGCGCAUUUAUUAGAAUAAAAACCAAUCGGGUCUCGGCCCGUAAUUUGGUGAAUCUGAAUAACUUUGCCAAUCGCACGGUCCUAGUACCGGCGAUGUAUCUUUCAAGUGUCUGCCUUAUCAACUUUCGAUGGUAGGUUAUACGCCUACCAUGGUAGUAACGGGUAACGGAGAAUAAGGGUUCGACUCCGGAGAGGGAGCCUGAGAAACGGCUACCACAUCCAAGGAAGGCAGCAGGCGCGCAAAUUACCCACUUCCAGAACGGAGAGGUAGUGACGAAAAAUAACGAGACAGUCCUCUUCGAGGUCUGUCAUCGGAAUGGGUACAAUCUAAAUCCUUUAACGAGGAUCUAUU